CUCGUAUUUAGCACCUCCCCUGGAAUAGUGGGAUGAUGCUGCUUUGUUGCCCUGCAAGUACAAGAAGAAAAUUCCGUCAGGGCCAUUUAUCAUACCUUUCUCACAAUCAGCAAAGCUCGAGUUGUCUACAUCUGUGCCCCAGUCCAAAGACAUAGAAAAUAUGUGGUCUUUGGAGUCAGACAGGGUGGAGUUAGAUUCUGGGCUUCCCCAGGAUCUCAUAGCAUCUACAACACUGUUAGUUACAAGAUGUGCUAUUAUUUUAUGGGCUACUAAGCAGAAAAAUGCUGCCAACGAGACCGUGACUUACCAGUGAUUGUAAGGUGUAUUCCAACUUCAGAGAUGGCAAAAUGAAAAAUAAUUCCUUAGAAUAGAGGGAGACGGUAAUUUCUGUGUUGUUGGUGGUGAAUUUGUGCAUGUGUGUUUUUUAUAUAUAUACAUAUAUAUAUAUAUAUAUAUAUACACACACAUAUACGUGUAUAUAUGUGUAUAUAUAGACAUACCUAUAUACAUAUACAUAUAUAUGUGUAUAUAUGGUGCUGCAGUGGUACAAUCAUAGCUCGUUGCACCCUUGAACUCCUGGGUUUAAGCGAUCCUCCCACCUCAGCCUCUUGAGUAGCUGGGGCCACAGGCAUGUACCACCAUACAUAUAUAUAUAUAUAUAUAUAUAUAUAUUUUUUUUUUUUUUUUUUUUUUUUUUUUUUUUGUGACACGGUGUCACUCUCUCACCUAGGCUGGAGUGCAGUGGCACGAUCUCAGCUCACUGCAACUUCUGACUCCUGGGUCCAAGCAAUUGUCCUGCCUCAGUCUCCCAAGUAGCUGGGAUUAUAGACACGUGCCACUAUGCCCAGCUAAGUUUUGUAUUUUUAGUUGAGAUAGAGUUUUGUCAUGUUGGCCAGGCUGGUUUCGAACCCCUGGGCUGAAGUGAUCCACCUGCCUUGGCCUCCCAAAGUGCUGGGAUUACAUGUGUGAGCCACCGCACCUAGCCCUAAUUUUUUUUUUUUUUUUUUUUUUUUUUGUAGAGAUGAGGUCUCGCUAAUUUGCCCAGGCUGGUCCUGAACUCCUGGGUUCAACUAAUUCUCCUGCCUCAGCCUCUCAAAGUGCUGGGAUUACAGGCAUGAGACACCACGCCAGGCUGGUGGUGAGUUUUAAAAUUUUCCAGUGCCUCAGUGUUUCUACCUGUAGAAUGCCAAAAAGUAGAUGGCAUCUUUGCGAGGAUGAAGCCGACUAGCUUUUUUUAAUUUUUUUUUGAGACAGAAUUUCUCUCUUGUCACCCAGGCUGGAGUGCAAUGGUGUGAUCUUGGCUCACUGCAACCUCUGCCUCCUGGAUUCAAGUGAUUCUCCUCUCUCAGCCUCCAAGUAGCUGGGAUUACAAAGCCAGCUAGCUUUAAGAUACAGUGUUGGGCAUCACAUUUUGGCACGGAGCAGGCACUCUUUUCUUUGCCCUCAGGUGGGACUUAGCCACCACAAGCCUUCCCUGGUGUGUGCAGUGGGUGAUGAAUGCUUGCCUGCUCAGCACCCACUACAUGGUGGGCUGGGUCACAUUACUCUGACUCCCCCUUGAGCUUCAGUCCGUGCCUGGUUCAAGAUGUAUUGACUCAACUCGAGGAUCCAGAGGUGGGAUGUGGCUCUGGCCUGGCCAGAGGACCGAAGAUGCUGCAUGCCAUGGCUACAGCAACUGGUUCAGCUUUGGGCUCAUGUCCUAGUCAGAGCCAAUGAGAUGUAAUCUUGGGAUAUCUGCUGGGCUGUUGGGAAGGGGACAGGCUGCCCUGCUCAUCCCCAUUCCUGAUGCUGAGGGAUCUGAGAAAAUCACUUGUAAAAUUCGGGGGUGUUUGGAAGAUGGGGAGACUGAUGUCUCCUUCUCUCUACAGACAUCUGAUCAGCUACAGAGCUUGACUGACCUACCCAGAGGCAGAAUGAUAUGGUGGUUAAAAGUGUGCCCUGGGCCGAGAUCUUGCCACUGCACUCCAGCCUGGGUGACAGAGUGAGACUCCAUCUCAAAAGAAAAAAAAAAGUGUGCUCUGGGCUGGUCGCAGGAGUUUAUGACUGUAAUCCCAGCAGUUUGGGAGGCUGAGGCAGGAGGAUCGCUUGAAGUCAGGAGUUUGAGAUCAGACCCUAUCUCUAGAAAAAUGUUUUAAAAAUUAGCUGGGUUGGUGGUGAAUGCCUGUAGUCCCAGCUACUCAGGAGGCUGAGGCGGGAAGAUUGCUGGAGCCCGGGAGUUCAAGGCUGCAGUGAGCCAUGAUCAGGCCACUGCACUCCAGUUUGAGGGACAGAGAGAGACCCCAUCUCCCUAAAGCACAAAAAAGUGUGCUCUGGUGCCACACUGCCUGGUUAGAUCCUUUGUCCACCACUUAGAUGCAUGUUAUAUAAAUGCUCUCCUCAGUUUCCUCAUCUGUAACUUGGGGAUGAUAAUGCUGCCCCAUUAAGUGGUUAUGGGGACUAAAUUCAUGUGGGCGCAUUGGUAAGUAUUCAACAAGCUUGAUUUUUUCCUGGAGAGGGAGAAAGAGCAUACAGUGAAGUGGCAUGCUCAGGUGCAUUGGGGCAAGGAUUAUUUCCUCUGGCUUCUGCCUCCUGGGAGGUACUAAGGAUGGAUCUGAAAUGUGUCUGCAGACCCCAGAGUUGGGGACUGCAGAGGGAAAUUGAGAUCAGGGACCCCAGUCUGGCAGAAAUGGGUGCAGCAUGGGGCAUUGGGUUCCUUCCAUCAGAGGCAUGGGGUGUGUUGCAGACAGUCAUGAGAUGUGGCUGAAUCUUGCAAGGGAGCUGCAGUCCUAGGGUUGCUGCUUGAGACAAUGACCGCUGUCAGUGGAACCUGGUGACCUUCACCCUUCUCUGUCAGGCUGCAGACAGCAAGAGAUGGCAGGAGGUUACACCCAACAGGAAAAGGGCCAUUGCUAUCCCACAGGUUGCCAUAGGAGGAGAUGACAUCUCUUCCCUCUCCUCCUCCAGCAGUGUCAGCUGGGGAAGAGGUGGGUGGGGGUGCACAAAAGAGUAGACCACAGACCAUGCUCCUUCUCCUCCAGUCUGCUGGGGCCCCAAGAGAGUCUGCAGCCCUUGGCCAGGGACCGGCUGAUACAGGAGAACAAAAGAUCUCAGUCUGGGAUAACAUGGUGGUGCAGCUGAUCCUCUGGAACUCCCUGUGAGAUCAGACUGGAGCCAGUCUCCAGCUGAGACCACAUCUCACUUAGCUCCUUCCCUGCCAUAUCCUGUUUUCCUUACUCCUAUCUACUGAGAGUCCUGAAUGAAUUACAUGCACUCAAUCCCUGCCUCAGGCUCUGCUUUUAGGGAACUUGACCUAAGACAGAUAUCUUAGUACUAAAUACUUUGCAAGGCCUCAGAAGCUCUGCUAUCCACAGGCAGGUGAGAUAUUACCUUCCCUACCACCUGGCAGUCAUAGUCUAUGAUGCGAUUCAGCUUUGUGGAAGUGCUUCUGUAAAGAACUUCCCCCAACUUAAGAUGAUCUUAAUUUGCUUACUUGUUUACUGUCCAUUUAGCUGCUGUAAAAUGUGAGCUCCAAAUCAGUGGUCAUGUCUGGUUAGUUACCCAUUUCCUGGGACCUAGAACGGGCCUAGCUCAGAGCAUGUGCUCACUAUUGAUGGAAUGCAUGUUGAAAGAACGCAUGAAUCUCAUCUCCUUUUGUGGGUGAAAAACUCAUCCUAUUCUCACUCCUGAUUAACUUUCCUUCUUUUUUUUUUUUUUUUUUUUUUUCAAAACGGAGCCAUGAUCUGUCACCCAGGCUGGAGUGCAAUGGUGUGAUCUCAUCUCGCUGCAACCUCUGCCUUCUGGAUUAAAGCAAUUCUCCUGCCUCAGCCUCCCGGGUAUCUGGGAUUACAGUUGCACGCCACCACACCUGGCUAAUUUUUUGUAUUUUUAAUAGAGACAGGGUUUCACCAUGUUGGCCAGGCUUGUCUUGAACUCCUGACGUCGUGAUCUGCCUGCUUUGGCCUCCCAAAGUCCUGGGAUUACAGGCAUGAGCCACCGUACCCAGCCACUCUUGAUUAACUUAAUGGAAAUAUUUACAGAGAUUCUUUCUCUUCUGGGUUCUAGCGUCUUAUCUGUAACCUCUGCAGGGGAGUCACUGAGCAGAACGAAGCGAGUUGCCUGAGAUUCUUCAAAGCCCCAGCCCUUUUGGAGGUUACAUUGUUAUUCUCAGAGCCUUUAUGAUGCAUAAUAAAGACCUAGCUUGUACCAAUAUUAGGAUGAGUUAUCUUGCUAUUAACAUUCUUUUAGGUAGAAGUUGCUGGUCCCAUCUUGCUCACAAUCCUCCAAAGUUUGAAAGUUAUUUUCCAGGAGACUUGGCUUGCACUGAGAGCUGCCCUCCCACUCUCUCUCCAAAUUUCCUCUUCGGAGUAGCCUAACAAGGUGCUGUCACAGACCCUUGUCAGCCACGAUGACCCCACCCAGACCAUCCCUCUGCUGUUUCACUCUUUGAUACUCUCUGGAGCUCUCUGGGGAGGGGUGAGACCUGCCGUCUUCUUUGUACGGUUUGCCCAGGUCUUACAGUCAUGGCUGGCUGCCUCUCUCUGAGAACUGGGACUCCUGAACUUGGUGAAAUACCUCAGCCAUCGAUCAUGUUGAAUUAUUGGGAACACUCAUUUAAAAUCCGAGCCUGUUCCAGAUAGACUCUCUCUCUUUCUGCCCUGACUGUGAGAGAAGCCCUGCUGGAUGGUGGAGAUGCUCGUGGGCUGUGAGCAAGGGAUGCAAAGGCUGCCGGGAAUCCCAUCUUUCCAGCAUCAUCUGCUAAGUCACAUUAGUUCCUGGGUAUCUGGAUGGGUUCUAGCAGCAUUACUGUCAUUGAAGGAAAAAUGAUAGCCAUAUUAAAGGUUAAUGCAGCAAUCUCCACAUAGGCUGCCUUGAAGGGACGCAGGACAAGGGUAGGUUUUCCUUGUGAUGGACAGGAGGCAGGCGGCCCUCCCACAGCCCUGCCUGGCAAUGCAGGUGUGUCCCCAAAAGGCACUGGGGGCCAGCUGGAGUGCUAUGCCGAGGCGGGCUGACCUGGGCCGUGGGUUCGCUGAUUGCAGCGGUUUCCUGCCAGCUCCUUGGAGAGCUGGCAGAUGGCCCAGCCCCACAGCAGGAGCCGCGAAUGGCAGAGCGACAUACAACAAUUUGAUAUCCACUUGCCAGAGGAGCCGGGUGUCAUCAGUCGCCUGGAUCUGUGCCCAACUUCUUUUUGCAUAAACACUUAUGAAUUCAGCCAAGAGGAAAAGCACUCUGAUUAUGAAUUGAGCAGAAGGAAACAAAGUUCUGCAGAUAAACACCAAUGAGACAAAAAAACACAAAUAAGAAAAAUGACAGAAAAGAAGAACCUUCCCAGAAGCCUCCUGCCAGUGAACGGCCACCAUAGCAAGAGCAUGGAGGCCCUGGGUUUUGAACUGUGAGAUAAGGAAGAUGAUGAAAACCUCCCUAGCAGCCAG
rnacentral:lncRNA from 1 species